UCAGAACGUACGCUGGCGGCACGCCUAACACAUGCAAGUCGAACGAAGUAGCAAUACUUAGUGGCAGACGGGUGAGUAACAUGUAGGUAUUUGCCCUUUGGCCUGGAAUAACACGAGGAAACUUGUGCUAAUACCGGAUAAGUCUUUACAGAGAAAGCUUUAUGCACCAUUGGAUGAGCCUGCACUUGAUUAGUUUGUUGGUGGGGUAAUGGCCUACCAAGACUAUGAUCAAUAGCUGAUUUGAGAGGAUGAUCAGCCACACUGGGACUGAGACACGGCCCAGACUCCUACGGGAGGCAGCAGUGGGGAAUCUUGGACAAUGGGCGCAAGCCUGAUCCAGCCAUACCGCGUGUGUGAAGAAGGCCUUCGGGUUGUAAAGCACUUUAAGCAGGGAGAAAAAGUUAUAAGUUAAUACCUUAUAACCGUGAUGUACCUGCAGAA
rnacentral:rRNA from 1 species